rnacentral:rRNA from 1 species
AUUGAACGCUGGCGGCAGGCCUAACACAUGCAAGUCGAACGAGUGGCGGACGGGUGAGUAAUGUCUGGGAAACUGCCUGCUGGAGGGGGAUAACUACUGGAAACGGAAGCUAAUACCGCAUACCAUCGGAUGUGCCCAGAUGGGAUUAGCUAGUAGGUGGGGUAAAGGCUAACCUAGGCGACGAUCCCUAGCUGGUCUGAUAGGCUGACCAGCCACACUGGAACUGAGACACGGUCCAGACUCCGACGGGCGUCAGCAGUGGGGAAUAUUGCACAUUGGGCGUAAGCCUUCUGCAGCCAUGCCGCGUGUAUGAAGAAGGCCUUCGGGUUGUAAAGUACUUUCAGCGGGGAGGCGUUACCCGCAGACGAAGCACCGGCUAACUCCGUGCCAGCAGCCGCGGUAAUAC